CUGCCGCCUCGGCUGCGGGCGGCUCGGCGCCUGUAUUUACGGCACCCAACCAACGGAACGCGACAGUGUCGCAAAGAUCGUCUGCUUUUGUGACCUAAUCUUCGCUUGCGUCGCGAACUUGUCAACUCUCCACGUCCACGGUACGGACAAGCCCGCGCUCUUGUCAAUAUCUGUGCAUACAGGUUUUUGAGAGGCUUGUCUCUUGCCUCAUGUUUUGCCUUCAUAAAGUGAAGAUAUCUUCAGAAUAGUGACUUUUGAAUCACCACAAUAUUCCCAGUCAAAGGAUGAAGUUCAGUGAGGUUGGAAGAGUGGCUCAGGGUGCACGACAGGUCCUAAUUCCUCAUCACGGGACGCUGCAGUCUCUGAAGCCGGCUCAGACCCAGUGCAGAGCCAGAAGGAGGCAGGUAAAUGGGAGAGAGGUUUUUCCCAAAGGGGUGUGUUUUGAUCCUCGCAGUAGGUUAGAUGCAUGUACUUAUCUUUGGCCAAUUAACCACUGCUUUUCAUGGAUCCUGUAGGCGUGAGUAGACUCUCCUCCAGACGUUCUCUCCCAAUGUGCAAAACACAUCCCGAACACCACUGGUUGCCUUACUGCGCUUGCACCAGCGGAUCUGGCCUGCAGGGUACCGGUUCCCACCAGUCAGGUCUGGCAACUCCUUGCUGCUUCCAAACUGUCUCUCCCUCCCCCUGCUGCUCAGUCUGAUUCCUCAACUUUGCCUUUGAUGUUCAAGGCUCCUAGAUUGUCAUAUAUAAUCGAUUGACUUGUUUUUUUGGGGGGGUCUUUUUUGUAAGAGGGACCACAGGAAGUAUCUGACUACUCCACUAUCCUGGCACUGCCUAUAGUGUAUUUUUUUGUACCUUUUGAAUUUCGUACCAAGUGACUGUAUUCAAAGUAAAAUUUAAAUUAGUAAAAAGACUGAUACCAAAAUGUUAGUAGUGUUUAACUAUGGAUGCUGAGGUUUUCUACAAUGAACACGUUAGUUUUAGAACAAAAAAACAAAAUACCAAACCCAUUGCUGUCAAGUCAAUUUCGACUCGUGGUGAUCCCAUGUGUUGCAGAGUGGAACUGCUCCAUAGGCUUUUCCUGGCUGAAAUCUUUAUGGGAAGCAGCUCGCCAAGCCUUUCUUCUAUGGAGCCACUGCUCCUUUAGGUUAGUGGCCCAUCACAUGCUUCUUGUACCCACUGGGGGCCUUAGUUGUAGACUUAGGGGGAAAUUUUGUUGAGGGAAUAUUAUUCAAUCUGUAUUUUCCUACUAAUGUGGUAUCUAGAAUUCUUUGACCAGGGAGAUCUUCAGAGUCUGAAGGAUGAGUAAACCAUAGGUUCAUAGGCUGAUAAAACUUUUUGUUAUCUUCAUACUUCAUGGCAGGAAAUGCAUACUGUAUAAACUGGAAAUCACUGUUAGUUGUCUCAAAUAAUCUUUUUUGUGUUGGAGCUCUGUUUACCCAGUUAGAGUUAUGAAAGAUAUUUGAAUAUGAAGCUGAUUAUCUCAUGGAAAAGUUACAGGCUAUCUAGAAAAAGACAGAAAAUAGACAUCCCAUAAUAAAAUUUAUGCUGUUAUUCACAAUGAUAGGAAAUCCUUUCCCCAAGCCUCUUUCAUCUCACCACCAUUAAUCUAAUUCAUUUUGUAAGAUUUAAAUGUCAGCUCUAACGUACUAGUAAAUGACUGCUUCCUGCUAAAAUGUGAGUUUGGAAAAUGUUGCAUUAUACUUCCUAUGAAAAUUUGCAGUUAUAUUGAGGAAAAGAGAACAGAAAAAAUGUAAUGAGUCAGGAAUUAGUUCUUAGGACUGAGGCAAAGUUUGUCUUUUGAAACUUUUCUUCUUGAAUAUAGAUUAGGUUAAGCGGCUGGCUUCAAUUGCAGUCUUUAGGUCCUUCCUUGAAGCUUAGGGGUUACUGGGGAGUUUUAUCCUUAAGAGACCUGUGCAGCAGACAGGAUGAGGUCAGUGCACUCAACACUAGCAGAGCAGGAACAAACUGCUGGGGGAAGGGAUUAGGAGGAACAAAGGAGGACACAUGGGAGAUGGGUGUUGGUAGAGGAAGCUGAGUAAGAAAAGUGAUAUGCAGCAAGGAUACCAAAGAAACUAAAAAUGGAAAUAUGAGUAAGAAGAGGAAAAAAGAAAAAAACAGUUUAAAGAGACAAAGGGAAGGGAGGAACCAUCCAAAAGAAAUGAGAAUGGAAUUUCUUUUUUAAAAAGCACAUUAUGAAAUAGUACUGAGGUGGGGAAAUAUUGAAACAAAAGUGGGAAAUAGUAUAACCCCAAUACUAUAACCAAAGAGAUGGAGAAAAAUCAGGAGAUUUACAGACUCCCCUGCCAGCCAAUAUUAUUACAAAUUAAAAGGAACCACUAAAAUAGAUUCAGCUGAAGCACAAAACAAAAUAGAAAUUUUCACUUUACAGUAAAACUACUCUGAUUAAAUCUCUUCACUGGUUUCCCAAUUCAGCUGGUGGUUUUAGACUCCUGUGAGAACACAGCAUAAAGGCAGAGAUUGCAUCAUCUCACCAUGGGGCAGGAACCUCUGGUAUGCAGGGUGUAUCUGGCUGUCAGUAUAUUUUAUCUAAUCCACAGAUGAAUUAUUACCAAGAGGCGAUACACUGUCAUUCAUGCUUACAGUUAUGAAAAAGAUGUUAUGAUAGUAAAAUCCUUAAUGGAAAUAUGGCAAAAGGCCACAAGAUGGUGAUGGUAUACCCUCAGUUGAAAUGGUAUAUCCCAAGAGACCUCAUUCAUCUGCAAAAUGAGAUGUGCACACGCAUGUGCGCACACACAUACACGCACAGACUUGAAACAGGCUGCUAAGCCAUAUUUAAAACGCCAAUCAACACCCCUUCCCCCCCCAUUGUCUUGCUAACCAGAAGCUUGUUUUGAGCAGGAAGUUGCAGCAGGUAGCGGCUCUGUCCACUGACUAGCCCUAGUUACACCUUGAAGCAUGCACAGAUUGAAAUCACAUCCUUCAACUGACCCCCCUGCCCACCCCCAAAUAUAGGCAUGGGAGGGCUAAAGGCAGAAAAUUCCGGGUACCAAACCCAACCCCCUGAAGCCAUUGGAAACAAAAAGCUCCCCAGCCCCCUUAGUCAGUGAGCACGUGGCCUUAAGGUCACUAGACCCCACAACGAUCCUUGUAUGAGCAGACAAUAAACUUGCCACUUUCUGUUUCCGUUGCAGUCAGUGUCCCUCUUAUUUCAAUCGGCUAAUAAGAUAGGACAAGAAACCGAGUGGCAUUCGGUUACAAAUUCUGGCGACUUCUGCCAGGACGGCUGACUGUGAAACCCGGUCAGUGAGUAUCCGGACCCCUGAUACCCCUUAAGGCGCGCCCGAUCUCAUUUGAUCGUUAAGGGGUCUUGGGUGGCUGCCGUGAUUUCCACUCCGGACAAAGUCCGCCGCUUCCGCACCUCAGCUCGGGAACAGAAACUGGACGGGAGAGGCCUCUAACUUCAGGUAAGCGCGCUGGACCAGGUAGUUCCACUGGUCUCGGGAAUUAGGCAAGAAGAGGGUGGCCAAGCGCAGUCUUAAGACUCAGACCCCAUAAAAACGAGGGAAAUAGGGGUUGUGGCCCACUGGGACCCACUUGCGCCUAAUUAAGGGGCCCUCGCCCCAUUGGCGGUUUGGGGGGGUUCAAGUCCCUCUGCGGUUUUUGGCAACAUUCUUCUCUUUCUCAUCUUAGUAUCCACUCUGCUCUUUUCGCUCUCCGUAUUUUAUUUCCUCUUUCUUUUCCAUGUAGAAAAGGGUGUUUUUUUGGUUUUUUUUUUUCCCACCCCUGAGAAGACUGUAAUCCCAAGAAUUACCAACCCUAGCUGUGGGUUGUAGAUGUAGGUCUCGGUUUAAGAAUAGCCCAAGAAAAUAAGCUUGAGAGUCCCGUGGCCUUAAAGUUUUUUUUUUUCUGUUUCUUAAAAAAAAAAAAAAAAGAGAUACAUGGCGAAAACAGAUUUUCAGUCUAGACUGGGAUCUGAAUCAGAAUACAGAGAACACCCUGGGCACAGUGUUAAGAUUUUAAAAAGAGGUUAUGUCCCAGAGCUAAAAAAAACUCUUGGCUGCAGUGCAUGAGACAAAUAAGUUCCUUUUUCGCUAAAAGAAAAGCUUCAAAAACUGAAAGAAGUAGAGGGUUAAAAGUCUCCUGGCUAAUAGAACUGGCCUGCCAAGUUUACUCUGAGAUAAAGAGAAAGAAAUUGUUAUCUUUUGGCUUUCCAAAUGCCUAAAGACACUUAAACAUAUGUAAAUGAAUCGGGGCGACCUAAUCUUGUCUUCUACCUGGAUUUAAAAGGUAGGUAGGGUGGGACAAAAUCAGGCCUCCUCAGCCCCCAGCCCUCAGCCACCAAGGUCAAAUAAAAAUCAUAAUGACACACCCAAAAUGGCCUAGAAAAAUGUUUCCAACCCUAGCCAGAGACUUAAGAGGUUAUAUCCAUAUCAAUAAAUUGGUCAAUUAAACAGAGACUUUGUGAUUUCCAGAGCCAGUUGAUGAAAUCUUUAAUGGCUAAAGUUAGAUUGGAAAUAUAUAUAUAUGGGAAAUAGUAAAAGUUAAAUGAAAACUUGGAAUAUUUAAAGCAACUUUAUUUCAAAUUGUUAUGAUUUAUGGUAUACAGGCUUAAAAUAAUUUCUAAGACCUUUUAGGUAACUUAUUGAUGUUGAAUUAAUAGAUAUUUGUCGUAAUUUAAGCUUAUAUACUUUUGCUUUUUAUACCACAAGAGAAAGGAUAUAUGUGUGUGUAUAUUUGGGUCAGCUCAUACAUGAGUUCAUUUUUGCCAUUUAAAGGGGUGUACUAUUUUUUUACUAUAAGAGAUAUACAACAAAGACAAGUUUUAAGAAGUUUAUUAAAAAGAAAUUUAUUUGGUAUGGUCAAAAGUUUUAUCUGAAGUUUAAUGGUUUAAUUUAUGAGAUUUUUAAGAGCUUUUAUAGCACAUAAAUAAUUAGGUUUCUCGCUGUUAAAAUAGCAAAAUUUUCUUUCAUUUCUGAGUUAAAGAGUUAAUUGAUUUAUGUAACCUGCCUCUAAAACAAAGGUUCAGUCUCAUUAGAAUAAGGUACCUGAGUCAGAAACCGAGCCACAUGGCUUUAAGAAGAAAAAAGGCUAAUGUUUUUAAGAUCUUUGGUGAAAUAACUUAAAUAUUGUUUCACAGUAACUUAUGAUAAACUCUUGACAAGUUUGAAACUUCAUGGAAAGCCAUAAAAUUUUUAUAAAAGUGCUGAAAAAGUUUAUUUAACAUGUUAUAAAAUACAUGGAACCUGUUGUUAAAAUCAAGAGAAGUGCUGAUUCUUCCUCUUCGGGUUAAAAUUUAUAUGUUAGUAUUUCCUCUUAUGUGUUUGCCUAAUAUUAGACAACAAAUGCAUAACAUUAUGUCACAAUUUUAUUUCUUUAUUGCUAACUUGGUUCAAACUUUAUUUUUUGAAUCUAACAUCAUCAAAGCCAGUAGUUUUACUGGAGAAUUCAAAUCAUUUACCUAUGAAGUUAUUUAUUUUUUUUUUAUUACUAUUCAGGUAGAGACUUGAUAAUCUUGGUAUAUUCUUAGUAUAUACUGACUAUAUAGUUUUAUGUCUCAAGAUUAUUAUGUGCUAUGUCUGAAGUUCUUUAAAAAUAUGGUUAUUAGUGGGUAUAUUUAAAAAUAUUUUUAUCUGAAGUGUUUUUUUUUUUUAACUGAUUUUAUUCGGCCUUUGUAUUAUGCUUGUAAUUAAUUUCUAUCAAGUCUUUGCCUUUUAAGAGUUAUGUUUAUAAAUUAAUCAUGGCCAUAAUAAGUUUUGUCAUCUACAGAUAAAUUUUUGCUUUGCCGAUUUUCUGAAAACAUUUGACCAGAAUAUCUCAACAAAAAAUAUGGACUGUAUAGAACUUGCAAAAAAAGUCUGUGACUAGACUUAAUCAAGAUUUCCAGAACUCUAUAAGAAGCUGAUGGUUUUGCAAACUGCAGCCAAUCCAGAAUCACCUGCAACAGAAGUUAACUACAUAAGACUGAGUAAAUGAAAUGAUACUAUGGGUUUUAUGUAAAAAUAUUUCUGAUAUUUUGAAGUCUUUCUGGAAAUAAUGCUUUAAAGUCCUACAUUCUAAAUAUAAGAAAUCAUUUUCCUCUUUUCUCCUAAAUUAUCUACCUAAUGGGUUUAAUUAUUUUAACUCUUUAAUUAGAAGUUCCUUUUGGUAAACUUACCAAAGAUGUAAAUAUCAUAACCAGAAAAGUGUGUAAAAUUUGAGCUAUGAUUUUACAGAUUAGAAUAACAUCAGAUUUUCUAUUAGUUCUCUCAAAGAAUAGUUUGUUCCUUAAUAGAUAAAUGUUGCUGUGUUUAUAUUAAUACACAGUCUUAGGUUUGAGAGAAUGUAGUUGUUCCUGAGACACAUGAAAAACAGUUACUGAUGCUACUUAUGUGUAAACAAACACCUCAUGAGAUUUGUUUCCUUGGUUCAAAGACCUUAGAGUCAUGGUUUCAUUAAUUAUUUCAGACAAUUGGCCUAGUGUUAGUGUUUCUAUUCUACCUCCUGAUUUAUUAUAUGGUGCCUGAGAUCUUAAAAACCAGAUAGUACCCAAUUACCAUUUAUUAAACAUUUUUAAUCAAAGAUUCUAUUACAAGAUCCUGAUCCAAAGAGGGAACCAUGAAAGACUAUAUGAUUUUCCUAAAAUCCAGAUUUCUGACUUUCAUAGAGGUUGGGACAACCUACAUAGGCCAUCGCCUUUGGGUGUCCUUUUAAUUAAACCUUGAGCUUUGAGAAAAAAACUGAUUCCUAAAGCUACUUGUAGUCAAACAAUUGUCCAGAUACACGAACAAGACCAUUUUGCUCCAGAUGUUAUGCUUUUUUUUUUUUUUUUUGAAGAAUUCAGUCUGUUUUGAGAAACUGACUCCAAAAAUCAGUAAACAGAGUUAUAUUUAAGGUAAAUCAGUAAUUGGUUUAAUCAGCUUUUAAGAUAAUGUUGUAUGAAAUACCUGUCUAAUGCUUGUAAUCAAACUCUUAACCUCUUGCUAUAUAGAAAAUUAUGUAACUUAAAGAAAUCAGGUUCUCAGAGAUCAACCUCAUGACUCAGACUCCAUUUUGUCUUAAAUUCCACUUCUGCUUUUGAGAAGGUGACCCAUGACUUAAUAAGUAAACCAAUGAGACACAGCUUGCCCUCAGGAAAAACCCUUAAUAUAUUUUAGACAGAUUAACUAGAGAGCUCCAACAGGAGAAGUCCAUCCUGUAUUAUCUUGCUAAUCACGUAUUCUUUAACAGAAACUUGUUUGUGAUAUAUAAAUUUUUCUAUGCCUUCUGUUUUCUCUAGACAAACUUUGUGUGCCUUAUAAAUGAUACGUUUUAGUGUGGUAGAUCCAACUAAACAAAUUUAGAUGAUCCCUUUCCAACUAAUAGUGAAUUUACAUAGACAAUCUCUUGUUUUGAUUCCUAGCUAAUCUGGGCAAUGAAUACGCUUUGAGAACUUUAAGAUUAUCUUUAGAUAUCCGUAGUAAAUAGUAGAAAGGUAAUGUUAAUUUGUUAUCCUUUGUAAAAGGACAGUCAGAAGAAAGCCCACUGGUCCAACACUCAGGUAUGGUUGGUAAAUUUAAUUCCUACUUACAGUAUAUUUGAAUUGGAGAAAUCUUUAAGAAAUUUAUCCAUCGCUAUGUGACAAAUAACAGACACAGGGAUGUUGUUAGUGACAUAGAAACACAACAGUGAUCUCUACCUCAUUAAACCAAGGUGACAUGAGAUAACAAAAUAGCCUUAGAUUUUUAUUUAUUGGUCCAAGAAAGUGUAAUAUGUGCUGUAGCAAAUACCUCUUGUUACAUUUAGAUAAAUAACACAGGAGAAAUAGAACAGGAUAUACAUAACACUGGAUAGCAAGGUACUUGGUCACACACUAUAACACCCUUACAAACACCAGAUUUAUUUGUACUUUUCUUUUUACAAGUAAUAUUCUUAAUCUACAUCCUGGUAAUAUUAGGCAUAAUAAAAAUUUAUCCUAUUGUCUUACACACCUCAAAGACAAAAGGCAGCCUUGGGCUAAAAUGUUGAUGUACAUUGAGUCUGCUCACUUCAACAAUACAAUUAAUGAGAACUUCGCUCUUAAGAUCCUGGUGAAAAACCAGAUCAUAUCCAGUGGAAAACCAGCACCGUGAGUUUGAAGAACCUGCCAUGGUCGCCAUGUAGGAGCUUGACUAAGUCCAGGUAUUGAUCAUCGAUGUGGUAUUUCCAAUCUCUGACCAAAAGGAAGAAAUGAUUUAAGAAAUAAUAUUAGAGUCAUUAUUACCUGUCCUUGAGCAUAGAGAAUGUGACCCAGCUAGAGCUGGACUCACAAGGACACAUCAACUAGGCCCUGAGGUAUAAAGACAAUAGAAUCAUCUUAGAAAAGGUCUUGUAGGGAAACUUUCACAUAAGCCAGAACACAAAAGACUUUCCACUCUUAUCUUUUUCUAUUAACACCUAGUAAACAGAAAUUUGUUGGACCAAUGAAGACCCUCCUGACUGUCGUUACUGAAACCUGUACCAAUAAUCAUUAAAAAAAGACAAUUCAGAAUAUAAGAUCACAGGUUCUAGCCAAUUUGUGAAAGGGUGAAGCUUUCAAUGACUUUGCUCAUUUUAUACCCUGUAAUAUUCUUAAGACUUGAAAAGACAUGACUCUAACAACAUGCUUGUCUACUUCCCACUUUUGCCUUUUUUUUAAAAAAAAAAAAUGAACCAGUGAAAAGAUUUAAGUGGCUAUUCAAGAGAUGAAACAAAGACCGGUAAAUAAGUAUCAUAAAAAUAAGUACUAUAAAAGUAUUAAGAAUUGUUUUUGCCCUAGCCAUUUUACUAAUUUCUAUUUUAACCUUUGCUUGUGUUGUUCCUCUCUCUACAUAAGCUUAUGUGUCUUGGUGUAUGCCUUAAUGAGUUAAUGCCUUGUCCCCUGAAGGGUAGAGUCAUUUCAAGUGAUUGAAAAGUUCCAGCUCCAAAUGAUGGUUGCCCAGAAAUUUCGAACCACCCCCCUAUCAAGAAGGGAGACAACAGCCUAAUAAAGGGCCACUAUAGACUCAACGGCACUGGGUGGGAUAGAUACAAGAGAGAUAAAACAGUUUAACUCAGACAACACAAGAGUUCCACUUCUCUAGGCCUUAGACCUCUACGCCCCCAUCCAGCAAGAAGCAGCCAGAGAGACACGGCGCCCUGUUUCCCAAGAUUGAGAAACCUACAACAAAAAGGCGGGAUUGAAACAGGCUGCUCAGCCAUAUUGAAAACCCCACUCAACACCCUUUCCCCCCCGUCUUGCUAACCACAAGCUUGUUUUGAGCAGGAAGUUGCAGCAGGUAGUGGCUCCGUCCACAGACUAGCUCUAGUUACACCUGGAAGCAUGCACAGGUUGAAGUCGCAUCAUUCAACUGACCCCCUGCCCACCCCCAAAUAUAGGCAUGGGAGGGCUAAAGGCAGAAAAUUCCGGGUACCAAACCCAAUGCCCUGAUGCCAUUGGAAACAAAAAGCUCCCCAGCCCCCUUAGUCAGUGAGCACGUGGCCUUAAGGUCACUAGACCCCACGCGCUCCUUGUAUGUGCAGGCAAUUUCCGUUGCAAUCAGUAUCCGUCUUAUUUCAAUCGGCUAAUAAAACAGGACAAGAACCCAAGUGGCGUUCAGUUACAGACUUACCAGUUUUUCCUUAGCAAGAAAUGGCAAGCCAGGAGCAAAGAGAGAUUUCAAGAGCGUAACCUUUAAACAAUAACCAAAAUUUUUUUAUAACAAAAUUUAGCUGUGUUUAUCCAUUUGGUUUCUCUGUUUUCUCAAUAAAAAAAAAAAAAAAGCAGUACUCCAUUUACAGGCUCCAGAAGAUGAAAUUUCCCUGAAAAGUACAGUUUUAUUUUCUUGACUAUGUAAUUUCUUUUCCUUACUCAUUAGGGAAGUGACUUGCAGGGUUAAUCCUUUACUUUAAAUGGGUGUGACAUUUUAGGUUAAUAAUGAUUCAUAGUAAUACAUGGACAAGUUUAACUUGCAAACAUGCAUUAUAUCUGUGAAUUAACAGAGAAUAAACAUUUGCAUGGGGGAAUACAAUAGAAUCCAGGGACUAAAAUGCCAAAAAGUAACUAAAGGAGAAAAAACCUAAUGGAUUUUCUAGAGUCAUUGACCUAAAGCUGUUAAUAUGUAUCAGAAUGUCAUAAAAAUAUUCUUAUCUUUGACUCUCUAAUUACAUGUCAAGGAAAUUAUUUUAGAAAAAUAGAUUCAUAGGAAGUUGUAUAAGGGUGUUUAUUAUAUCAUUAUUUACAGUAAUGAAAAAUAUUAGAAACAUCACAGUGUGGAAUUGAUCAAAUUAUCACACGUCCAUAAGCUCGAGUGCUGUGCAAUCAUUUAAAUCAUGUUUUUCCGGGCAUUCUGAUAUACUAGUUGUGGGAGUAUAAAAAUGGGUUAAUCUUUUGAAAAGGUAAUUUGGUAUUAACUAUCUAAAUUGUAAAUGUGUAUAUUCUUUGAAUCAACAUUUCCACAUCUAGAAAUUUAUCCUAAGAAAAAAUUUGACAGAUAUGCAAAUGUAUGUGAACAAAAUGUUCACUGAAACUUUGUUUAUAAUAGCCAGAAAUUGGAACCAACCAAAACACCCAUCAAAUUAUGAUAUGGUCUUACAGUGGAAUAUGAUCUAUCAGUUGAAAAGGGUAAGGUAGAUGAAUGUGUACUGAAGAGAGGAACAAUAUAUAUUGUUGAGUCAUCAAAGCUGUUAGAAAAUUACAUGUUUUCUAAGUUUAUAUAAAUAAAUAUGCAAAAAUGUCUAGGAGGACAUAGUAGAAUACGGAUAAAUGUUUAAAAACUAGCUCUUUGGAAAAAAUAGUCCUGAUAUGUGGUUUAAAUACUUCUGUCAUGACUAAUUUCAAGCUAUCAAUGUAUAGUUAUUGAACAUGGAUGGGAGGAUAUGCACACAGUCAGCCUGAAUGAGCUGGUGUGAGCAGUUUCCAGCAUACCUGUGUAUCUCUCUCUGGGAGGUGAGAUUAUGGGAUUAUUAUGUGAUUAUAAUUUACAUACUAGGAGUCCUUGUGGCGCAAUGGUUAAGCACUCGGCAGCUAACCGAAAGAUCAGUGGUUCAAACCUACCAGGCACUUCACGGUAGAAAGAUGUAGCAGUCUGUUUCCGUAAAGAUUUAAAGCCUUGGAAACCUUAUGCGGCAGUUCUACUCUGUCCUAUAGGGUCACUAUGAAUCUGAAUCGACUCAAUGAAAAUGAAUGGGGUAGGUAAUUUAUAUACUUCUGCAUUUACAUUUUUGAAAUGAAAUUGUAUUGCUGUUAUAAUCAACGAAAAGAAUCAAUACCAAUUUGGAGAAACAAUCAUUUUUUAAAAGAAUAUUUGAAGACCUGAGAAGAUAACACAAUUGUCAAGUAAAAAACUGUAUAUCACAAAGCAGAUAUCUUGUAUGAUACCAAUUUCGUUAAAAAGAUAAAAGUAUAUGUAUAUAAAUAAUCUAUGAGACCAGACUGUCAACAUUUACCCUAAAAUAUGAGAAGCUAAGGAAGGGCAGGGAAGCUAGAAUAAUGGAAGCAGAACAAACAGAAUGGAAAUAGUGAGAAUGUUGACACAUUGUGUCUUGGAACAAUUUGUAUAAAAAUUGUUAAAUGGGUAACUAAUUGGCUAUGUAAACUUUCACCUAAAACACAAUAAUUUUUUAAGGAUGAUAACUGAAUUGUACAAGUGACAAAUGUUUAAUUGGCAAAUGUUGCAUUAUCUAUAUUUUUUUACAAUAAAAAAUAACAAAAAUAAUUAGAUUUAAAAAACAAAAUUUCUUUAAGCUUGAAAAUAUAUUCUUUCCAGGAUUAUAUAAACAGUAAUAGAAAAGUGACAAAAUUUUACUCCUGCAAACUUAUCUACCAUAUGAACAAUACAUAUGGAUUUUAGCAGUGUUACACAUGGUGCUCUGUAAGACUGUAGGAAGAAAAUAACUUCAACCAUCAAAACUGUAAAUGCACUUGUGGUAAUUAAAAAAAAAGUACAAAGCUAAACUAAUAUGUAACUAAAUUCUUCAAUUUCUGUGAAAAUCAAAACAAUUAUGUAGAGAAGAGUAAAGACUUUUGCAGUAGUAAAAGUAAAUCUAACCUAGGGAUUUAGUUUUAUUUCAUAUAACUGGAUGAUAAAUUUUAUUUAUGAUUUUUAUGAUAGCCCCCAAAUAUACUAGUUUUUCUGCAAAUAUUAGAAAAUAACAUUUAAGAGGCUUAUAUAAUAUACAUUUUAAUUAAUUAAAAAUAAAAAUUCUGUGUGUAUUUUUUAAUUAUGUGUAUAUACAUACAUUUACACAGGAAAAUGUCUGAAAGGAAAUAAGCCAAAAUGUACAUUGUAGUUAUAGCUGAGUGAUAGACAUCUGAGUGAGGUUCAUUUAUUUUUGUUUUACUUUUGAAUUUUUCCAUGCUUUCUACAAAUGCUUUUAUUAUCAGAAAAUACAUCAUUAUAUAAAAUAAGACCAGCUGUUACGCUUAGAAGCAGUUCCUUUCAUUUCAGAUUUUUGGAACUUCUACAAUCUAAGUGUAUGACUAUCUUAAAAUGUGAAUUAGUGGAAUUUUCUAUAUUUUUCUCUCAAAAGUAAGAGGGUAUUUUAAUUUAUGUGGUUCAAGAUAUUUAAAUAUGCAUAUAUUAUAUUAAGGAAAUGACUCAUGGUUAUAGAGGCUGGGAAGUCUCAAGUCCAUGGGUCAGGCUGGAGGAUUCUCCUGACUCAUGUAUCUGCAGGUGCUGGCAAACCCAAGAUCAACAGGUCAGACAGCAGACCACUGGGUCACACGAUGCAGAGGCUGACAAAUCCCAAGAUUGGCAGGUAAGAUGGCAGGCAGCCAUCCCACAGGCUGUGGAGGCUGAUGGACCCUAAGAUCAGCAGGUAAGCUGCUAGCUCAAGUCCUAAGAAUCAGAGGUCAGAUGAGAAGCCAGCUGCAGGAUCCAGAGCAAGCAAAAGCCAGCGAGCUUUGCCAGAAAGUCCACAUAUAUUGGAUGCAGGCCACACCCCCAAGGAAACUCCAUUUCAACAGAUUGUCUGCUCAUGGCAGAUCUUAACAAGGUGGUGACAUUUUAUCAGAUCACAUUGUGGGGGUGAUGACUUCAUUAUGUAACUGACAGACUACAUCAUAACUGCCCUACCACUGAGAAUCAUGGCCCAGCCAAGUUGACACACAACCUUAACCAUCACAGUCUACCCUUUGUCAACUUGGCACCCAUACACAUCUUCCUUAACCAUACACAAUCUCUCAAUAAAGAAUAUUAUAAAGCCACACUUGUGCCGAACAUGAUACAACUAAAUGUGUAUGACCAAAAGCACUAGCCCUUUUACAUCUUAUGUUUUAUAAGUGAAUAAAACAAAAAUAUUUGAUGCACACUGUUAAUGGAUUAAAUCGUGUCCUCAAAAAAUGUGUGUCAAGUUGGCUAGGCCAUGAUUCCCAGUAUUGUGUGAGUGUCCAGGAUUUUGUCAUCUGAUGCGAUUUUCCUAGUAAAUCCUAUCUUUGUGAUGUUAAUGAGGCAGGAUUAGUGGCAGUUAUGUUGAUGAGGCAGAACUCAAUCUACAAAAAAGGAGACAAGUGAACAAAGGGGAGGACCCAUACCAAGAAAGCAGAGCCAGGACCACAUGUCCUAGACCAGGAAAAGAUUGAUAACAAAGACCUUCCUCCAGAGCUGACAGAGAAAGACUUCCCCUGGAGCUGGCACCCUGAAUUCAGACUUCUAGUCUCCUAGACUGUGAGAGAAUAAACUUACGUUUCUUAAAGCCAUCCAUUUGUGGUAUUUCUGUUAUAGCAGCACUAGAUAACUAAGACACAUACAAGGAAGAAAUAUAACAAUUACAGCCCUCAUUUCUGCAACUGUAUUUAGAAAUACCUUUUUCUACCACCCAUUCUGUAUUCCCGUUACUCUCAGCAAGCACCUCAGCUGGUUGUACUUUGGUGGGGCGAUCCAAACUAUUCCUGAAGGGUCUGAGCCAUUAGUAGUCAUGUUGGAAUUGGCAUGGUAUUACUAAGAGACAUCCUAAGGGAUCUCCUGUAUUCAAGACAUACUCUACUGCCAUUAUGUAAUAUCAAUCUGAUUUCCUCUUGCUAAUCAUCAGUCACACCAGCCAAUAUGAUAACUUCCUUCUUUGCCUGUUGAUCCAGAGGCACGAGGAGUACAAAGUGGCCUGGUGGCAUUCUUAAAUUAUAGUUAAAUGGAAUCAGUGUUUUCUCUCUUGGUGGGAGCAUUCCACCCUUUGGAACUAAGACCUCUAGACCCACAGAGCAUAAUGUCCUGGGGACAGGAAGCAAAAAGGAGGAAUACAGAGUGCUGCCAUUCUCAUUCCAUCCCUUUUUUCCUGGACCCAUGAACCGUAGCUAUGGUAGAAACAAUACCAUAUAUUGUACACUGGUUUAGAGCAUAUACAGCAUUGCCCCAACCCUACAAGAUGCUGUCAUCUAGCUCGUGCCAUAAUUGUGUCUCAAGAAGGCCAUUCCAUUGUUCUGUCAAGCCAGUUGCUUCAGGAUGAGGGGGAACAUGGUAAGACCAGUGAAUUCCAUGAGCAUGGUCCCAUUGCGGCACUUCAAUUGCUGUGAAGUGAGUCCCUUGAUCUGAGGCAAUUCUGUGUGGGAUAACAUAAUGGUGGAUAAGGCAUUCUGUAAGUUCACAGAGAGUAGUUUUAGCAGGAGCAUCGUGUGUAGGAAGGGCAAAUCUGUAUCCAGAGUAGGUGUGCACUCCAGUAAAAACAAAAUGCUGCCCUUCCUAUGAGAGAAUCAGUCCAAUGUAAUCAAUCUGUCACCAGAUUGCUGGCUGAUCACCUUGAGAAAUAGUGCCAUAUCAGUCUUUGCUGUGGGCACAUUGGGAACUCAGCAGUGGCUGUAGCCAAGUCAGCCUUGAUGAGCGGAAGUCCAUGUUUCUGAUCACAUGCAUAACCUCCAUCCCUGCCACCACGGCCGCAUUGUUCAUGAGCCCAUUGGGCAAUGAUGGGAGGGGCUGGGGAAAAAGGAUGACUGGUUUCCAUAGAAGCAUCAUCCUUUCCAUUUGAUUGUUAAAAUCCUCCUCUGCUGAGGUCAUCCUUCAGUGGACAUUCACAUGAGGCACAAAUAUCUUCACUUCUUUGGCCCAUUCAGAGAGGUCUAACCACAUAACUCCUUGUCACCAAUUUUCCAAUCAUGUUCCUUCCAAGUCCCUGACCAAACCAUUGGCCACAGCCCAUGGAUUAGUAUACAAUCACAUACCUGGCCAUUUCUUCCAAGUGAACAACCAGGUGCAGCACUCGAAGUUCUGCCCAUUAGGAGGAUUUCCCUUCACCACUGUCCUUCAGGGACGUCCCAAAAGGAGCUGUAGUGGUGCCACUGUACACUUUGGUGCCAGCAUAUUGUGCAGAACCAUCAGUAAACUAGGCACAAGUUUUCUCUUCCUCAGUCAAUUGUCAUAAGGAACUCCCCGUGAGGCCAUAGAUGCAGACUGGGAGAGAACAGGUAAUGUGACAGCAGUAGGGACCAUAGGCAUUUGGGCCACUUCCACAUGCAACUUGUGCCUUCAGGUCCUGCUUGGGCCCAAUCUUGUAUAUACCACUUCCAUUUAAUGAUGGAGUGCUGCUGUGCACGUCCAACUUUAUGACUCUGUGCGUCAGACAACACCCAGUUCAUGAUGGGCAGUUCAGGCUGCGUGGUGACUUGGUGUCCCAUUGUCAAGCGUUCAGUCUCUAAAGGCCCAAUAACAAGCCAAAAGCUGUUUCUCAAAAGGAGAGUAGUUAUCUGCAGAAGAUGGCAGGGCUUUGCUCCAAAAUCCUAGGGUCUGUGCUGUGAUUCACCAAUAGGGGCCUGCCAAAGACUCCAAAGAACAUUCCUAUCUGCCACCGACACUUCAAGCACCAUGGGAUGAUCUGGGUCAUAUGGCCCAAGUGGCCGAGUGGCUUGCAUGGUAGCCUGAACCUGUUGCAGAGGCUUCUUUUCUGGUCUCCACUCAAAACUAGUAGCUUUUUAAAGUUGCUUGAUGGACUGGAGUAGCAUACCCAAAAGAGGCCCACCAGGUGUUGUGCCUCCUAUUUAGUUGUGGGAGGAGCCAGGUGCAAUAACUUAUCCCUCAUUUUAGGAAGACUGUCUUGCCAUGCCCCACACCACUGGACCCCUAGAAAUUUCACUGAAGUGGAAGGUGCCUGAAAUUUUGGGAUUUAUUUCUUACCCUCUAGCAUGCCAAUGUAUUAAGUGUCAUCAGUGUAAUGGACCAGCAUGACAUCUUGUGGAAAGGAAAGUUGAUCAAGGUCCCUAUGGACUAAAUUAUGACAUAGGGCUGGGGAGUUAACAUACUGCUGAGAUAAGGCAGUAAAGUUGUAUUGCUGACCUUCCAGCUGAAGCCAAACUGUUUCUGAUGGUCCUUUGAAAAAGGUAUGGAGAAAAAGGCAUUGGCUAGAUCAAUAGGUACAUACUGGGUACCACGUCAUGUAUUAAUUUGCUCAAGCACUGAAACCACAACUGGAACAGCAGGUGCAAUUGGAGCCACCACCUGGUUAGAUUUUCAAUAGUCCACCAUCCAUUCUCCAAGCUCCAUCUGAUUUUUGCACAGGCCAAAUAGGAUAGUUGAAUGGCAAUGUGGUGAGAUUCACCACCCCUGCAUCCUUUAAGUCCUUGAUGGUGGCAGUAAUCUCUGCAAUCCCUCCAAAUAUGCUGUAUUGCUUUUGGCUUACUAUUUCCCUAGGUAGGGACAGUUCUGAUGGCUUCCAUUUGGCUUUUCCUACCAUAAUAGCCCUUACUCUACUUGUCAGCAGUCUAAUGUGGGGUUUGAGCCGGUUGCUGAAUAUCUCUAUUCCCGUGAUGCAUUCUGGAACUGGGGAAAUCCCUACAGAAUGGGUAUAAGGACACACUGAAUCCACUGUGACCAAACCUGAGCUAAGACUUCAUUAAUAACUUGACCACCUUAUACCUCUACUCUGACUGGUGAGCCACAGUGAUGUUUUGGGUCUCCUGGAAUUACUGUUCAGAGCUAGUAUCCAGUAAGUCCUGAAAAGCCAUUAGUCCCUUCAUUCAAUGAGUUGUGGGUUUAUAAACUGUCUCAAACCUGGGAAUUGAUUGAGGGGCCAUGACUCUCUGUUCUGGCAAUUCAAGUUAGGCUCCCAUUUAUUUGGCCUAGAAUUUGUCCACUUUUACAGAUAAAGUAAAUAGUAGAUUUCCCAUCUAUUUCACUCCUAGGGAAACUGUAACUAAUCUAGCGCCGUAAGUCCAUAGGAGACUAUUCUGAUUACUGCUUUGAUUCUGCUGUCCACAACAGUAACCAUGCCUACCUUGUCUCUGUCGAUUGAGUGACACCACUUGCCCCUACCACCACGGGGUCCAAUUAGCCCUAUUACAGUUAGGUGUUUUAAUGCGGUUAGGGUAGUUCCCACUGUCAAAUCUGACUUACAUAAAAUAGCAAUCACAGCAGUCUUCAAGGAUGCUGGAGCUCCCUUCACAAAUUUGUGUCUCACCUUUGUGGCAAAAGGUGUAUACUCUGGGCACUCCAUGUGUGGGUCUGUUGUUCUAACCUGAUAAAUCUACUCAAACACGCCAAUUUCCGUAAGUCUUUGGAUUCCUUCUGCAGUAUACCAAGAUAGCUCUAGCACUUCAGCUUUAUUUAGUGUGGGCCACAGCAGAAUCCAUGCUUCAGCAAACCAACCAAAUAAACUAUUAGAUUCUUUCCUAACUUCUCAAGCCAAAACAGUGAAUGAAGAAUCUGUGCUUAGUAGGCCCAUAUCAAUAAACUCAAACUGAUCCAACUUUAUGUUCCUUGCAUCGUUAUCCCACACCCUUAAUAGCCAUUCCCACACAUAUUCCCCCAGGUCUCCAUUUAUACAUAUUAGAAAAUUCAAGCAGGUCAUUUGGAGUGUAGUAUACCUCCUCCUGGGUCAUGCUUGUGCUUCACCUUUUGGAGCUCACUGGAACUUAAGUCUUGUUAUAGGUCUAGAAGCAAAAAUGGGUGGUGGGGAUAUGUUCUGAGAACAUUCAGCAAUGUCUUGUAAGGCAUCUGCCUCAAGUGAUGUCCCAGGCCUGAGUCAGAUGCCUCCCCAGGGGAUGACUCACACAAAGGCUCUUCAGACAUAGCUGGGCUAUUCUCAUCAGAUAGCAGUGGAGGAGUAAUAGUUUUACUUGGGAGGGUGGUUUAGCAAGAAAACAUGGAGUAAUCUCUUCACAUGGACAUGAGAGGGUUGUGUUGGCAGAAGUGAUUCAAUAGAAUUUAGGGGCUCAGUAUCCCCAGCUUCCUGAUUAUCUGCCCAUAUGUCUCCACCCCAAGUUUCAGGAUCCUAAUUCUUCCCAAUCAAUGUCCUCACUUUAGCUUCAGCUAUCAUUUGAGGUUGGGAAAUCAAUUGGCAUUGUAAUUCAGCCACUCUUAUAAGACUUCAGGUUUGUUUUUUUGGCAAUAUCAGCUCUGUUACUACAAACAAUAAGGUUCUCUUUCAAGGCACAAGUGGAAAUUUUGAGGUCAUUUAUGUGACCCUUGAACUGUGACUCUGAAGCUCUGAGUUCAUCUCUUUCUUUCACCACUUUGUCUAGUGAAAGUAGUUCCAACCAACCAGCCUCCUUAUACUUCUCAUUAGGACAAAAUUGUAGAAAGGUGUGACACAUGCAAUCACCCAGAGCCUCACCUUUCACCAAUACCUGAUCUUUUGGUGGUGAUAUUUUGCGUCUUUGUAUUGCCGCCUUAUGCCAUGGAUUAGCGGUGCCCUCUUUACUACUGGAAAGCAGAGUCAUCAACAUCUUUAAGACUAAUGAGAUUGAGAACCAAUUUCGAAAAGUCAUCCUUACAAUUUUGUUUCUGCAACCAAUCUCUGUACCAAAUGUCAUAGGCUGGGUUCUCUAGAGAAACAAAGUUAGUGAAGCAAAGCAUAAGUAUAUAUAGAGAUUUAUAGCAAGGAAAUGGCUCAUGUGGUUGUAGAGGCUGGGAAGUCCCAAGUCCGUGGGUCAAGCUGGAGGCUUCUCCUAACUCACAUAGCUAUAAGGAUCAGCAGGUCAGACAACAGGCCUGUGGAUCAUAGGCCGAAGAGGCCAACAAACCCCAGGAUCAGCAGAUAAAAUGGAAGGCCACUGGCUCACAGACUGUGGAGGCUGACAAAUCCCAAGAGAGGCAAGUAAGAUGGUAGUUCAUUGCUCACAGGCUGCGGAGGCUGACAAAUCCCAAGAUCAAGACCGAAGAACUGGAUUUCAGAUGUGGAGCCAGCUGAAGGAUCCAGAACAAGCAAAAGCCAGUGAGAUUUGCCAGAAAGUCCACAUAUAUUGGACUCAGGCCACAUUUCCAAUGAAACUCCCUUUCAACUGGUUGUCAGCUCAUAGCAGACCUCAUUAUGGAAGAAAUUACACCAUUACACAGCUGCCAAAGUACAUCAUAACUGUCCAACCACUGAGCAUCAUGACCCAGCCAAGUUAACACACAACCUUAACAGUUACACUUUUCUACCAACCAAAAGGUUAGAACCCACCCAGCAGUGCCACAAAAGAAGGACCUGGUGGAGUGCUUCCAUAAAGAUUACAGCCAAGAAAACCUUAUGGAGCAGUUCUACUGUGUAACACAUGGGGUCACCAUAAGUCAGAACCAACUCAACGGCAAUGGGUUUGGAGAUAUAUAUAUCCUUAAUAGAAAAAAAAUUCCCAAUCCCUGACUCUAUCAGUUAUUGUGAUAGCCUCCACCCCAAUUCCUGCCUAGAUUACUGUAACAGUCUUUAUGCUCUGUGUUUCCAUUUCCUCUCUGUAAUUAAGUCCAUACUGUAAUUAAAAAGGAUUAGUGAGACCUAUGCUCAUGAUGCCAGAAGAGUAAUCAUCUUAAAAUAUGGCUUUCAUUUAAAUUUUGCUCACAAGUCGUAAAUGAUAGGUUGCAAAAGAGUAUAGCAUAGUCCCAUUUCUGUAAUAAUAAUAUUAACAUAUCAUAUGUACAGAAAAAAUUGAAAAUAUGUACCAAAUUAUUAAGAGAACUUUUCUCUAGGAGUACUGGGAUUUUUCUGGGGGGUAGGGCUACAUUCUAAUUUUUAUGUUUCAGAAAUGUUUUACAAAAAGCCUAGGAUUUUUUUAUUAAACAUUUUUCAUGCUAGUAUGAAUCUUUGUAAACAUAAUAGACUAUUUUUAUAAUGCAAAAAGAAAUAAAAGUGGGGAAGGAAUUCUUUACUGAAUUCCCACUGUCUGGAGGAUGAAAUCCAACCCCCCCCCUUUUUUUUAUUCUUAUUUUUGUUGUUGUUGAGAAUAUACACAGCACAACAUACACCAAGUCAACAAUUUCUACGUGUACAAUUCAGUGACAUUGAUUACGUUCUUCGAGGUGUGCAACCAUUCUCAUGCUCCUUCUCUCAGUUGUUCUGUCCCCUUAAAAUAAACUCACUGCCCCACUAAGUUUCUGUCUAAUCUUUCUAGUUGCUGUUGUCAAUUUGAUCUCAUAUAGAUAGAUGUUAAAAGCACAAUGCUCAAGGCAGACAUUCUUUACUAGUUAUGCUAAACUAGUUUGGUUUUAAGAAGGCUUCAAAGGAUACUUUUGGUUUAAGAUUUAAACUCUUUUCUUUUUAUCCAAAUACCUAUCUUCAAAACCUACCUAUUCAAUAAAACCCAUCCGGUCUGCUCCAGCCUCCUCACAGAAUUUCUACAGCGCUUUCUGGCUUUUCCAUUUGUGUUUGCAUUUUAUCACAUGCUUGAUCAUAACAUUAUUUAAAUAGUUUCUCAAUUAAUUUAUGGACACUUAA